GAGGACCUACGGGGCGCAGCAGUAGGGAAUCUUCCACAAUGGGCGAAAGCCUGAUGGAGCAACGCCGCGUGGGUGAAGAAGGUCUUCGGAUCGUAAAACCCUGUUGUUAGAGAAGAAAGUGCGUGAGAGUAACUGUUCACGUUUCGACGGUAUCUAACCAGAAAGCCACGGCUAACUACGUGCCAGCAGCCGCGGUAAUACGUAGGUGGCAAGCGUUAUCCGGAUUUAUUGGGUGUAAAGGGUGCGUAGACGGGAAUACAAGUUGGUUGUGAAAGCCCUCGGCUUAACUGAGGAACUGCAACCAA
rnacentral:rRNA from 1 species